GUGUGAAUAAGUGGCGUAGGUUUUCUAUUUUGUAAUUAGAAAGGUUGGACGUCAAGGUGGCCA
rnacentral:tRNA from 1 species